rnacentral:rRNA from 1 species
UACGGAGGGGGCGAGCGUUGUUCGGAGUUACUGGGCGUAAAGCGCACGUAGGCGGUUUGCUAAGUUGGAUGUGAAAUCCCCGGGCUCAACCUGGGAACUGCAUUCAAAACUGACUGACUAGAGUAUGGUAGAGGGUGGUGGAAUUUCCUGUGUAGCGGUGAAAUGCGUAGAUAUAGGAAGGAACACCAGUGGCGAAGGCGACCACCUGGACUAAUACUGACACUGAGGUGCGAAAGCGUGGGGAGCAAACAGG